AGAGUGGGCAGAUGAGAGGGCAUCGAAGGCUUCCCUUCCCACCCGUCCGGCCUUGCAACUAUGCACUCACUCAGCCACUCAGCCCAUUUCUGUUUUGCACAAAAGCACUUCAGGCUCUGUGGGAGGUACGGGCACCCGGAGAAGAGCAAGACCCAUUUUCUGCCCUUAAGGAGUGUAGACAGACAAGGGUAUCACAGCGAAGGCAGAGGAACCUUGCUGUAAGAAGUAUGCAGACUAUUGCAGAAAUCCAGAGCAGGGACGCUAAUCUCACAGGAGAAGAAGGAGGGAUGCAUGGCCGGAAGUGGGCUGUCGGGGACGGGGACGCUUUCCUGGAAGAUCACCUUUGAGGUCCACCUCGGUCUCCACUCGUGUCUGGACAGAACAAGAUCUCCGCCCUACAACGUGAGCCACCUGGCUCAAUUUCACAUUCAGUCGAGUCUGACUCAACAGCAAUUUUCAUCAUCUCGAUGUCUGACUUCCACACUAGACCGAUUUAAGAAGGCAAGACAGUUUGCUACCAUUAUAAUACAUUAAUGUAGAUCUUAAUUUAAUAGUUUGAACCAAUAACAUAGGAAAAAUUAACUUACUAUUAGCUUCUAAAAAAUAUGAUGAGCCAGGUGUGGGAGUGGGCGGCUAUAGUCCCAGCUACUCGGGAGGCUGAGUCAGGAGGAUCACUCAAGCUCAGGAGUAUGAGGCCAGCCUGGACACCACAGCGAGACCCUGUCUGUUUGUGAGAACGCACUUCCAGAAUGAUGUUCUUUGAGCUGGAGCCGACAAAAUGUUUGCAGUCCCGAAAAUAUAUCUCAUUCCCACUUCCCUGGACUCUGUUUCUUUGUAAGGAUUAUGUUA